rnacentral:rRNA from 1 species
UUACUCAGUUCAGGUUGCAGGCUGCAACCCGCCUGCAUGAAGUCGGAAUUGCUAGUAAUCGCGGAUCAGCAUGCCGCGGUGAAUACGUUCCCGGGCCUUGUACACACCGCCCGUCACACCAUGAGAGUCGGGAACACCCGAAGUCCGUAGUCUAACCGCAAGGGGGACGCGGCCGAAGGUGGGUUCGAUAAUUGGGGUGAAGUCGUAACAAGGUAUC